rnacentral:lncRNA from 1 species
AAUAGCCCUCUUAUCCCCCUUUUAUACCUUUAUCCCUCUUUAUAUUCGAUUCAAACGGAGUGUAGAGAUAUUUGUUUAAAUAUUUUAUAAAUACACGACCUAAAUUUUUUAGCUCGAAAUUUUUUCAGCUCGAAAUUUUAACAGGCUGAAUAUGAAAAGCACUAAAUACUUAGUGCUUAUACGUUUCCCACUAUUAAAUUUACUCUUUUGAUCAUUUUUACCGAUUAAAUCAUAUUAUUCAAUCAAUCACCCACUCAAUUAAUUUUUAAAAAAAUUAUCAUCCUAACCUACUUUCCUUAAUUCAAGGACCGAAAGCCUACAAGUAUUAAUAACUAGUCAUUUUUAAAAGCAUAGAAACACAAUUCAUAUAUAUAUAUAUAUAUAUAUAAUUUAGAUUUUAGGCCAAUCAAAUAAUAAGAAGAUCUAUAUUUUAUAAAUUAAAAUUAUUAAAUUAAAAUUAAAAUUUUUAAUUUUUUAUUCAGCAAUAAAAUUGAUAAUUUCACUUGUUGCUUGUAAGCCAUCUCAAACCGAACAUAAUUUGUAUUUUUGAAAUCAUGCUUUAAAGGAUCAGUUUGUGUUUAGCUCAUUUAAUAAAGGAAAAUUUUCAAACACCCUCCCGGGAUUUCGCACUUUCUCAUUUUAGUACCCUAUGGUUUAAAGUGUAUCAAGUUAGUACCCUGUGGUUUCGCACUUUCUCAUUUUAGUACUCUGUGUUUUCAAGUGUAUUAAAUUAGUAAGUAUCAUGUGGUUUUAUUUUUCUAUCAAGUUAGUAUCCAGUUGUUUCAAUUUUCUCCUUUUAUUAUUAAUUUUAGGGUAUAUAAUUUAAUGAAUAUUAAACCACAGGGUACUAAAAUGAGAAAAUACGAAACUAUAAGAUAUUAACCCACAAAGUACUAACUUAAUAUACUUGAAACCACAAGAUACUAAAGUGAGAAAGUGCGAAACUACAUGAUACUAACUUGAUAAACUUUAAACCACGGAAUACUAAAAAUGAGAAAGUGCGAAACCACGAGGGUAUUUGAAGUUUCCUUUUUAAUAAACAAACGAAAAUGCAGUGGUCCCAAUUAGCUCAUGGUCAGCUCGCUGAGAUGAAUGAAAACUGGACACGUACAGUAGUCCACGAAAUGCGCGCAUACACCAGGUUCAGUGAAAAAUACCUUGUCAUCUUCCUCCCCCUUUCGUAUAUAUAUAUAUACAUACAUAUAUGAUAUCCAAUUGGGACAAUGACUCAGUAGUUUUAGCUAUACUUUUCGCUUUCCCUCGUUCUCGUUCUCGCCGCCAUUAAAAUUUCCUCGAAGCUCGCUCCAUCCAUUUCUCCCCACAUAUAUAUAUUUUUAGAGAGAGAGAGAGAGAGAGAGAGAGGGAGAGAAAUGGGGGAGGUGUUCGAAUCGUGCGUGGUGGGUCCGAGCGAGGAGACGCCGCGGCACGCUCUGUGGGUGUCGAACCUGGACUCGGUGGCGGCGCGUGGGUUCACGCCAACGGUCUACUUCUACCGGUCCGGUCCGGCCGGGCCGGCCGGGGAGGCGGUGGCGGCGCUGAAGGCGGCGCUGGGCCGGGCGCUGGUCCGGUUCUACCCGCUGGCCGGCCGGCUCGGGGCGGACCGGUCCGGCCGGGUCCGGAUCGAGUGCACCGGCGAGGGCGCGGCUUUUUCCGCCGCCCGGUCCGAUUCGACCGCCGACGAGUUCGCCCGCGACUUCGCCCCCUCGCCGGACCUUCGCCGGCGCUUCGUCCCCCCCGCCGACUCCGCCGAUCCCCCCUGCCCUUUGCUUAUGCUUCAGGUUCCUCCCCUUCUCUCUCUCUCUCUCUCUCUCAUUAUUAUUAAUUAUUAUUAUUAUUAUUUUUAUUACUAUUGGGAUUCUAGAUCUUUCCGAAUAUUUGAAAAUAUUUGUAAAAAUUUAUAAUAAUAAUAAUAAUAAGAAAUAGGCUGGAAUACUAUCAAUAGCGCCAAAUUAUUAUUACUAUUAAUUUUUUAGCACUUGAAUUGAAAAAUAUGCGGUUAGAAUGAUGUGUGCCCUCUAGGGUUAGUGAGUGGUUGGUUGAAUAAUAUAAUCUAACGGAUAAAAAUAACCAAAUCAUUAAAUAUAAUGGUGGAAAACUCGAUAGCAUCGGACCCUUAGUGCUAUCGAUAGUAUCCUAACCGGACUCUAAUAAUAAUAAUAAUAAUAAUAUUUUGGUCCGUAAAAAAUAUAUUAUAAAAUAUUUUUAAAAUUUAGAUAUUAGUCAUAUUUAGCUAAUCUGAUAAAGCUAAGUUUGGAAUUUUAUGCCCUUGUUCAGCUCGAAGUGGGAAUUAAAGUGCCCUUUGUUAAUUUUUUAAAAUUUGUUCAAAUAUCUUCAAAAUUUUAAAAUUUGUUAGUAAAAUUUAGAGUUUAGAAGAAUAUUUUAAAAAUAGAAGUGCAAAUUUUUUAAAAAAUUGAAUAGUGGUUGGAAAUGUAGAAAGAAAAGUUUCUUAUUUAAUACCUGCCAACUGUCCUAGGCAAUACUAGCUCUCUCUCUCUCUCUCAAUUGAUUUACACUUUUUUUUUUUUUUUGUCCUAUAUUUAUAGGAUAAACUAUAUAAAUAGUUUUCGCACUGUCUCUAUUUUGUGGUUUGGUUUUUGUAUUUAGUUCUUAAAUGUAAAAUAAUCUAAUAACUAACUACUGGCUAGUCUAGUGCAGUGUUAGUUAAUUCGCGAAUUGUUCGCCAAUUUUUGAGAAAAUGAAUUAAACUAUUGAAUUCGUAUUUUCCUGGAAAAUUCGCAAAAAAAAUGUAUUUUUUGGGGGAAAAAAAACCUAUUUGCGAAUUAUUCGCGGCGAAUUAUUCGCCCAAAAAAAGGGCCCGUGUCCCCCCCCCCCAACAAAAAAAAAUCACUAUCAAAAAAAUUUAAUCUCUUAUGUAUUAUUUUAAUCUUUUAUUUACUUAAUUUAUUAUUUAUUUUGAGGUAUAAUAUAGUUUGCUAUUUUUUUACUUAAUUAGCUUAAUUUGUAGUUCUUUUUUCUUAUAUUCUUAGGAAAUAUGAAUAUUUAUGCUAAUAGCAUAAAUUUUGAGAGAAAAAAAGUUUAAUUUAAUAGCCGAAUUUUUUAUCCCGAAUUUUUAAUUGAUGAACGUAUAAUAUCCGUAUAAAUCACGUGUCCGAAUAAUUGACGAAUCCGUUUUUUAGCCGUAUUUUUCAACAAAUUUAAAAAUUAGAAGACGAAUUUUAUCCGAAUUAUACCCGUACCGAAUUUUUGCUGAAUCCGAAUUAACUAACUAUGGUCUAGUGAUUUAUUAUUUGGGUAAACUUUAAAUAUUAUUCCUAUAAUUUUGUAUUUUUUUAUUUUAGCAUUAUGUGGUUAAAAGUGUAUUAAUUUAGUAUUAUGUAGUUUUUUUUUUUUUAUUUUCGUCAGUCCUUCCGUUAAUUUUUCGUUAAAUUAUAUACAAAAAUUUCAAAUAUUUCACAUAUAGUUUAUCAAAUAUUUGCUUUAUUAUUCUUUAGUUUUAACUUUGUCACUAAUUUAACAAAAAAAAUUACUGAAAGGAGAUAAUAAAAAGAGAAAAAUAAAAUCGUAGGGUAUAAAGGUGAUACAUUUUAAAUUAUAGGAUACCAAAGUGAGAAAGAACGAAACAUAGAAGUGAUAUUUAAAGUUUUUUUCCUUAUUAUUUUUAAUAAUAGAGUUUUUUUUUUAAAUAAGAGGUCAAGGAUUUAAGGUUCCCCCUACAAGCAUGAUAAAUAUUUGGGGAAAAAAUUCUAAUUUUUUAUAAAAUAACCAAUUAAUUUGUAGCCUUUCAUUGAAAAUAAUUUAUUUUUUUAGUACACUUUUAUAAUGUCCUUUUUCUAAGAAGUACUCAAGUGAGUAAAUUAAAAAGUAUGGAGACUAACUUGCCACGUGGACAAAUAUGCAAGGACCAUCCAUAUAUAUUUUGCCCUUAGAUUUAUUAUUACUGUUCUAUAAUUUGUUUUUAAUUUUUGACCUAAAUAUUCUAUAUUUUAUUGAUUUGGGGGUGUUUAGUAGAAUAAUUUUUUUGCUUAGAAUUAAUUAGCAUAAAUUGCGUUUUAGCUCUAGAAAUUUAAUGAUAUUACUCCGUAUUUUGUAUGUUCGAUUAGCAUUUUCUAAUUUUAAUAUUUUAUUUUGGGUUUUGUUUAAUGAAUGCUUGGGUGUUUAUACUUUAUAAUGAUAGUUAGCCAUGUUACAUCAUUGACUUAAUUGGAAAGGAUUAAUUACUUUAACUAGCAAAUUAAUUUGGUCGUUUUAGGUCCCAAAUGAUAAUUCAUACAAAAUGCUCUUUUUUUUUUUCAUUUAUAGAAAUAGCGAUUUGGAAAAGCAAUUUUUUAUUUAAAAGCAUUUAUAAAAACUUUUUUUUGUAAUUUUUAUUAUAAUUAUAUUAGGAGUUUCAUAUUAGAGUUUCUGUAUAAAAUAAAAUAAAUUAGGAGUUUCAUAUUAGAGUUUUUUUAAAAAAAUUUUUGGGGUUUAGGGAGCUUAUAAUGUUGUUUAUUUUUUAAAAAAAUAUUGUUAUUAUAAAAAUAAAAGAGAACUUGUUUAAGAAGCUUGAUUAAAUUGUUUAUUUUUAUUUUUCUCUUUUAUAAGAUAACGUUUGAAACAAGUUAGUGGAAGAAUACAAUUCCCCCUAGACUUUUCUCUUAUAGCAUUUUUAUUAGUGUAUGAUUUAAUUGACUAGUGCAGGGUUUAAUUAACUAAUGAAGGAUUAAUUAAUGAGAUCUCGAAUCUGAGUACGUAUUAGUGUUGCUAAUUUGAGUUGAAUACACCAAAAUGACUUUAUAAUUAAUCUCUACUUUAAUAAGCAUUAAUUAGAAAUAAUUUAAAAAUAAUCUUAACAUAUUCAAAAACAAAAAAAAAUAAAAAAUAAAAAGGAAGGUUGAAAUUUAUAACUUUGAAUCAGUAGUGUGGACAUGUUUCUUUUAAAUUAUUUAAACGAGAAUCUUAAACUUUUAAAUUUAGAAAUUUUUAUUCUGAUAUUAUAUAAAGUAAUUAAUUUUUUAAGUACUCAUCUAUGCAUAGAAGAAUAAUAAUAUCUUUUAUAUGGGAAUAUUUUGUCACCAACAAAGAGGGAAUAAAGUGUGUUGUAUUAGAAUUUGAUUUCUUAGUAAUUACUUAAUAAAAAGGAAGAGCAUAUAUACAAUAAAUAUAUUGGUGUUUUCAGAAAUAUUCAUUUUUUAAUUAGGAUAUUAUUUUUAUCUUUAAAUAAAAAUGGUUUGAAAUAUAUAAAAUUGUAUAUAAACUAAAGUUGUGAUAAUUGUAAUUAAAGUUGUACAUUGGAAUAUAUGUAUACAUGGAGUUUUGGGACUUUAUAAUAUACUCUUCUUGUUUAAUCUUUAAAGUCAACUCCAAACAAUAAUCUAAAUUAAAAUAUUUAUAAACUUAUAAGAAUAGUUGAGCUAAGUUGAAACAUUUUAAUGCUUCAUAAUUGAAUAGAGCAUAUUCUUUGGGUACAAUGUAUAGAGAAAAUGAUAGUUUAGUAAUGCCUAUUUUUAUCAUUUAAUAUAGUAAAUAAAAAUAAGAUAAAAAUCUAUUGUGCUCACCCUCAACUAUCUCUUAUUUUCAUAUGACUAAAUUGUUAAAAAUUUCAAUUUUGUUAUUUAAUUUUUUAAUCUCCUAAAUUUGAAUCAGUUAAUGACUUUUCAACUUUAAAAUUUAAAUAUAUUGUUUGUCUCUACAGAUCUAAUAAGUAUACUUUAUGUAAUUAUGUAAUUAUAAAUUUUGUAUCGAAAAAGUCAUCAGAUGGCUUGAAUCAAACAAACUGAAAGACUUUGUGUUAAAAUUAAAAUUUUAAAAAAUUAAAUAAUUAUAUCAAACUAGUCUAUAAUUUAGAAAUGAACCGUACAAUUUUAAUGUAAUUAAUGCAAUAAAAAAGUUAAAUAAUUAUUGGUAAUUUAUUAUUGAUUAAAAUAGUUUCAAUUUCUUUUUUUUAUGAUGAUAAGGAGAGAGAACUAAUAAGUUGAGUAGAAUUGCGGUUCAUAACAAAUCCAACGAUAAAAAAUUUAAUAAUAGAUAUAAUGCUUAGAUAAAUUUAAUCAGAUCGAAAUUCGUGAGCGUUGUAACUGAGCUUUUAACUGCGAAAGUGCGCUUUUCUUAUUACCACCUAUUUUUGGGAUAGAGGGACAAGUGGACAAGUGGGGACACACUCAUUUAUAUUGUGGUAUCUUUCAUUGAUUGAAUGUCACAUCAUUCCAUGAGAUAGCUUCUAGAUGCUCCCCCAAAGUUUUAUUUUAUUUCUUGGCCUAAUGAUAUACCAUUCAUUUUUAUAAUAUUUUAUGCUCAAUGAUUCCACGAGAAAUAAUAAAUAAAAAGGUACUAUUUGUACAUCUCAUUACAAGUUUAAAUGUAUGGAGAUCUCCUCCACUAUAUGCCAUUUUGAAAUAGACCUCUUCAUUUUUACUUUUUUUUUAACUAAAAAUAUAGAGAAAUUAUUUAAGGUAAAAUAUAUAUAAAAUUUAUCUGAACUAUGGACUAUUUAUAUUUGGCCAGUCAAUCUUUUAAAAUUUUAAUUUUACUAUACAGUUUUUCAAUUUAUUUGAUCUGAGUCAGUCGACGAAACUUUGACUCUAAAAUUUAAAUCAGUCGUUUAUUUCUAUAAGUCUAGUUAAUAUAUUUUUUGCAACUCUCGUAACUAUAAGUUUAUUAAAGUAAGUAAUUUAUUAGAUACAUCACAUUUUUAAUUUAUUGAAAUCAAAUAUAUAUUUUUUAAUGAUUAUUAGUACACAAUCGUGUACAUAUAUACUAAUUUAAACCUAACAACCAUGAAGUCACCUUAUAUAUGUACAGAGACAUAGAGUAUAGAGGUUUUGAUAUUUAUAAGUCGUUUUUUGUGGUAGAGUUUUCAAAUCCACAAUCUAUACUGUUAAACAUAAUUAAGAAAAUAAAAUGCUCAGAAAUCAAAUUUUAUAAAAUUUUGAAGCUAAAAUAAAGUGUAGCGAGCGGAUAUAAAAUGAACGAUUAAAUCGAACGACCCGCACAAAUAGUUUAUAGGGUUCUUCAAUUCAUAAUCGAAGUUAUUGAUUCUCUAAAUUAUAUUUAACAGUAUAAAUUGUUGAUUCGGAAGUUGUACUAUUAAAAAUAACUUAUGAGUACAAAAAUGAUAUGAGUCGGACUCUUUUUACGUAUAUAUAGAGAGAGAGAAUUGGGUUGGAAUACUCUUUAAUAGUAUCAAGUUGUAGCUGCGAUCCAGUUUUUCACAAUUAGAUUUAUCCUUUAAUUAAUUCCACCCUUUAGAUUGUUGUAUUUUAUCGACCAUCCACUAAAUCGUGGAGAUCAUUAUCAUUCCAAUCCUAUAAUUUUUUAUCCAAGGGUUAAAACUAGAUAUGAUUCAUUAGCCGGAUACUAUUAAAAGUAUUUCAUUCCGACUCUAUAUAUAUAUAUAUUUAUAUAGAGUUUUGCUAGAAUACUAUCGGUAGUAAACGGCUCGGUUUACUACCAAUUUGUUUUCGAUGAUAGAGCUUCCAAAUUGAUGAUCGACACCGUUAAAUAUGAUCUAAACUAUUUAAACUAUCUAGAAAUCAAAUUUUACACAUUUUCGAUAUUGUUCUCUUGUCCAUCAAGUGAACAGAAAAAUGAAUGGCUGGAAAUAAAUAUCCUUUAAAAAGUGAUGAUACAAUUUUUAUAUUUGAGAUCUAGAGUCUAGAUCUUAUUUUAAAUAGUUUAAAGAAUUUUUUAACAAAAAUUUAAUUGAUUUGAACUCUUCUAUACCGUUAAACGAGCAAACGCACCAUAUCGGCCAUUAAAAUUAUAGAUUUUGUGACCCUUUGAUCGUUCAGUUAGUGAUGCCAAAAAAUUAUGAAAUUUGAUUUCUAGAUAAUUUAAAUGGUCUAGAUCAUGUUCAACGGUGCCGAUCGUCGAUUUGGAAGCUCUAUCAUCAAAAACAAAUCGGUAGUAAACCGAGCAGUUUACUAUCGAUAGUAGUCCAGUCAAACUCUAUUUAUAUAAUAGAUAAUUGAGUUAGGGAUCUCUUUUUGCUAUUAUAUACACUAUAAACAAACACAGGCUAAAUCUUAGUGGGCCGAUUUUUAUGGGCCUGAAUUUGGCCUCAUUUUGUUGGUCAUUUUUUUUAAAAAAAAUUAGAAUAAAAUUUUUAACUUAACUAACUAGAAUAACUGUUUUGUGCACUCAGGUGACAUUCCUGAAGUGCGGGGGCAUGGCACUAGGCUUUGCCAUCCACCACCUGGCCUUCGACGGCCGCGGCGCAUCCCUCUUCAUCCAAACCUUCUCCCGCAUCGCCCGCGGGGCCGACCUCGCCUCCCUGCCCCCGCCCUUCUUCGACCGCACCCUCCUCCGUGCCCGCUCCCCGCCCUCCGUCCUCUUCGACCACUCCGACUCCACCGCCUUCUCCGACAGCAACGCCAACAAUGACAACACCGCCGCCGCCGCCGCUAUUGUGUCGCCGGUCGUCACGGCCCACCUCGCGCUCUCCAAGUCCCAGCUCCAGUCCCUCAAGUCGCGGUGCGGCUCCGCGACCGGCCCCGCCACCCCGCGGGUCUCCACGUUCCGCGCCGUCGUCGCCCACGUGUGGCGCUGCGCCUGCAUCGCCCGCGGCCUCGCGGGCGAUGUCCAAACCGAGUUAUACCUCCCCGUCGACGUCCGCGCACGUCUCGUCCCACCACUCCCCGCAGGGUAUUUUAUAUUCAUCACUCCUUUUGUCUUAGACUCAAAAUACUUUGAUAGGCUGAAUACAUAAACUUUAGAUCUCUCGUCUCUAGAGAAUAGUGCUUUAAUAUUUUAUAUUCGACAGGUACAUCGGCAACGCGGGGAUCCGCACGAAGGCCGUCCUGACCGUCGACGAGCUCAUAUCGAGCAGCUUCGCCGAUAUCGCCGAGACGAUCCAGAACGCGGUCGACCGCGUGAACGACGACUACGUGCGGUCGUUCAUCGACCACCUUGACACGGCGGACGCGAACACCCUGUCGCGGCGGGGGGCGCUGCCNAUUUUAUAUUCGACAGGUACAUCGGCAACGCGGGGAUCCGCACGAAGGCCGUCCUGACCGUCGACGAGCUCAUAUCGAGCAGCUUCGCCGAUAUCGCCGAGACGAUCCAGAACGCGGUCGACCGCGUGAACGACGACUACGUGCGGUCGUUCAUCGACCACCUUGACACGGCGGACGCGAACACCCUGUCGCUGCCGCGGACGAGCCUGUGCGCGAUCAGCUGGCUCGGGAUGCCGAUGCACGACGCCGACUUCGGGUGGGGGGAGCCGGAGUUCAUGUCGCGGGCGCAGAUGUACGGUAGCGGGUAUGUCUACUUGAUGAGCACCCCCGGAAACGAGGGGGGAGUCUCAGUUAUACUGGGGCUGGAGAAUGAGAGCAUGAGGCUGUUCAAAAAGAUAUUCUAUGAGGAGCCUGCUUGUAUAGAGGGGUAAAGUUCGAAUUGUGAAAGAAUUACACGAGCGCGAUCUCAAACUACUACUACAAUUUGAGCCGCUCCUACAAAUUUAUAUAGUAGUGAAUCACGAGGCGCAAUCGUGCGUUGCCUCGCGAUGCGUGAUCAGCCACGUAUGCGGUAGGUGUUUCUAUUUCAAGUUGCUCUCAAUCGAGACCGGUCGGCGCUGUCGAUUGAUUGCUGAUCAUGUAAACUUGGGGUUUUAGUCAUGUACUUGGGGCAACUUUUACUGUUUUUGUGAUCUUUUAGAGAACUGAUAUGCUUUGUAAUAAUUUUACAGUAAAUGGUUACACUUUUAUUUGUGAGUAUUUACAAAAGUAUAAAGCUUAAAAAAUAGAUUCAGCCAUUCCAAAUACAUGAAUUUUAGAACUAAAAAUUAAAGAACAUACACUAGCAUCGUAUUAUUUCUUUUAAAAAGUUGUGAAUGAAUGAAUCUGAUAGCUUAAACUUUGUAGGAAUAUAUUUGUUAUUCGAUAUUUUUAGUGAAGCACGUUUCACCGUCGAAUAAUGAGAUUAUAAUGUUUUCUUUUCGAUACCGAGCAGAAGCCUCACCCACAUCGAGAGAGCGCAACAAACAACAUCCAAAGUUGGAUUUUGGACCAGGCUGUUCUGGGCAUGUUCGAAUUGGAAUAACUACAAAUACGUUACAACGAUCUCGGUCCAAAAUGAUCUAAGUCGGAUCGUAUCGGAGCGUGUCAAAUUGAGAAAUCAUGUCUCGGACUAGGUUAACCGAAAAAAACGAAAAGCUCCGGCCUCGGUUGGCUUAACUCGCUAAUAAUUCGGUAAAGAGGACUAGAUUGAUAGCAAUAUAUGUCGAUGAAAAUCGCGCUAACUAAAUGAUCUAAAUGAUUGGACUUAAAACCCUAGCCUGGGAAGAGGAGAGCGAUAGCUCUACAGCCCAGUGUGCAGCUAUUUCUAUCAAAAAUUAGGUUGAGAUGAUCAGAUCAGGUAAAGUCCGGACGAAUUUGCUCAGGCCUACUAGUAGCUAUAUUUUUUUAUUGAUUUGGAUUGUAAAUUUAUUUACUAAACAAUAAUUGUGGUGUUAGUUUAUAAUACACUCUCCUUAUUUUUUUUAUGUGUUUUUUGGAUUUUCAUUUGUAUAUUCUCUUUUGUGUUGUGUGGAUGCAUGCCUCAAUAUUUUUCCCAAGUUUAUAUUCGAUUUUACCUAUAAAUUUUCUUGUCAAAAAAAAAAACAAAAGAAAAAAAGCAACUCAAAUGCGAAAUAGAGAAUCCCCCAAUUCAUAGAUAUAUACUACUAUUAGGAAGAGUUGGGUUAUAAUCGUUAUGACCUAAUCCGUUAAUAACAAUAAUUCGUUAGGUCUAAACCACCGGCCCAAAAUAAUUAAGCCAAUAUAUUAUUACUAACAUGUAGGCCUCAUAUAUUAUAAUCAAAAUCAGUUUCCACCUGGGAGUUAUAAUUUUGCCAAAAUAUAUAUAUAUAUCAAAACAAAGGUGACGAUAUUAGGAUUUGAUUAGAUUGUAGUUAUCUAAAAUAUAUAUUAAUAAAAGUCUAAUUAGAUUAGUAGAAAAAUAUAGAUUGAGAUUUAAGUAUUUAAGAGAUUAAUUUGGAUUAGAGUACUAAUCCUAAUUGAACUCUAAUGAGACUAUGUUAGAUAUAGCUUACAUCAAAGUGCCUUGUCGCAUCUGUGUUAGUUACGGAUUUAUACAAGACGAGAGAAAGGUGAUAAAGAUUUAGAAAGUGACAAAGUAAUAAUCCAAAUUUUAUUAGAAUUUAACUCAAAGUUUCAGUAACAAUAAGAUUUAAUUAUCCACAUCACAUUUAUAAUAAUCAUGUUUAAAGUCCACAUGGUUAGAAUUGAUUGGUUAUCUUAUUCCAACCCUGAAGCCAUCAUAAAUUCACAACUGAGAUUCUGAUUGAUAAAAAAUUUCUCUGUACCUUUACCCUAUUAUUCUAUUUUAAUAUUUUAUUAAAUAUUAAAUAAUUAGUAUCAGAGAAAAUAACGCUUCGAACAGAACGAUGCUCUCGAAAUUUUUUUUUCAUCUUUUGUAAUUUCUUUUCUUCUUUGUUUUUCUUUUUUGUGGUUGUACAUAAUUUUAAUACGGAGACAGGAUUAUGGUAAAAACUUUAUUUAGCGCUUUCAGUAAUUAGUAUCAGAGCAGAUUAAUUACUGGUUCUCUAUAGAUAAUCGAUCUAAUUGAGAGCUCAUUACGAAAGAUCGAAGGGGUGAUUUAAAUCGAUGAUUGGUUACUUUCUUAACAUUCUAAUAUUCUGUAUAGUGUAUGGAGCAUUGGUAUGCACUAAGCGCAAGCAAAGAUUUUUUCUCUGUUUUGAAAUUAUGAGUGCAUCCUAUUAAACAUUCUUUAUACUAAGUACAUAUUUGUACAUAUACCACAUGCCUAAAUAGAAAUUUCAAAAUUAAUUCAUCAAAUAUAAUUUAAAUUCUUAGACUUUUUAGAUCAUAUAUAUUUAAUUAACCAAACAAUCGUGUACUUAUAACAUAAAUAUACCAAACUAAUUAAAUAAUGUAUUUAGAUCUUCAUGUAAUUGUAAUUGCUUUAACCAAACAAUUGCAAAGUUUUUUUUUUUUUAUGAAUGUAAAAGUUUUCUAAUCAACGAUAUAAUUAGUAACUCAGUAUUUUACACAUUACAUAAAUAAAAUAUAUUUCUUGUUACGGUUCGUUUAAAUUAAUGCUACUUGAGUAGUGUUAUUAUAGAUAAUUUGUGAUAACACUAAAUUAAUUAAUGCGCAUAAUUAAUCGUAAUCACGCGAGAAAUGGACGUAACGUGCACGUUCUUAUAAGAAAUUAAAAGAAAACUAAAUUAAGGUGAAAAGUUAAUGCUAUAUAUAUGUAGCCUAAAAUGUAUUAUAGUUAAUAAUACUCCAUCAGCUUUACGAAGUUCUCUAACUAAUAUUGUUAAUAAUAGUAAUAAAAAAAAUAAUAUAUAUUUUUUAAGACAUGUGAUCGUAUUAUUAUAGCACAGAUAAAUUUGUCACCAUGUCCAUCGAAGAAAUUAAAAAUUAAAAAAUGAUAGUGACUAAUUAAUUAUAUAUUAUAAGGAAGGUUUGAGAGUGGGACACAUAUAUAAGCAAAAAAAAAACCAAAAAAAAAAAGAAAUUGUCACGUAGUUAAUUUAAUUGUAAUCAAUGCCCAUCUAAUUUAUUAGUGGGGUGCUCGAGUCCACGCCUUUAUUGAAAAAAAACAAAAAGGUUAUAAUUAUUAUGGGGAAAGAUUCUGGAACCUAUUGAUUAGAUAAUCUUAAAAAAAAAUUAUUAUCUACUCUAUUAAUUGGGUGCUUAGCUUUUUUGUUAAAAAAUUACUAUUAAUUAUGGAGAAAGAUUCUGAGAUGGCAUCUAAUUAAUAAUAUUACUAAAAAAUUACUAAUAUUAGUAAUUUUUUGUUAAAAAAUUACUAAAAUUUUUUUUUAAAAAAGAAUUAACGACUAGUAUAAUUGGCUGAGAAUUUAAUUAUUGGUAUAUGAGAUUUCGGGUUGCUUCAUAUUUUUCGUUAAGUUUAUUUUUAAAAAUUAGGAGCAAUUAUUUAUAUAUUUCUAAAAAAAUUUAAAUUUUUUUAUUCACGAAUUUUAUAAGACUAAUAUUGAAAAUACUCUUUUAAAAUUUUAAAAAUUUUCAAAUAUUCUUCGAGAGUUAAAUUCAAGUUCCCUUGGGUCUCACUCAUUUUAAAUCAUUUUAGUGAAUCUUCAUUAAUUAAUGCUCACCAAAAUCCACAUCCAACAUUAUAUUUGGGUCUCACUCAAAUUCAAUACAAAAGCUGACACGGCACGUUCUUAAUUAUUAAUCCUUUCUGGCUAUUGUAAUUAUCAUUUUAUCUGUAAAUUAAAUCUCUCUUCAUAUAUAUAUAUAUAUAUAUAUAUAGAGAGAGAGAGAGAGAGAGAGAGAGAGAGAGUGGGGCUGGUAUACUAUCGGUAGCACGGAGUCCUCCGUGCGAUCAAAUUAUUUUUAAUGAUGCGAUUUUCAAAUCGACGAUCGACUCUGUUAGACUUGAUCUAUACUGUUGAAAGUAUUUAGAAACUAAAUUUUAUAAUUUUUCGACAUCGUUUAGUCAGUGAUCAAAAGAAGAGUGCUCCACGCACUUUAAUAUAUAUAUAUAUAUAUAUCAAUAGAAAUAGAUGCUUUUAGAAGUAAACGAAAUCGUUUACUUCUCCAUUACUUUAAUCGGUGAUCGAUAUUAUCAAAUUUGAUCUAAAUUUUUUGAAUAAUUUAGUUUUCAAAUUUCCCAAUUAUACGGCAUUAUUUUGAAUUUUUAAGGCUAAUAUAGAGUGAAUUUACGAUCAUUUGGUCACUCAGACAAAUGAUAUCGUGAAAUCCUAAAAUUUAAUUUUAAAAAUAUUUUAAAUAAUUUAAAUUAUAUUUGAAUUUACUAUAGUCUCAAACGACAUAAGUUUUUAUUUAUUUCUAAAAAUAUUCUAGUCUAAACUUUCAUUUUAUAAGUCUUGUUAGAAGCCACGUAGCUUGAUAGAAUAUAUGCCACAACUUUAUUUUGUUAUUUUUUAUACAUAUUUUUUGGGCCUUACAUGCAAAAAACAGAAAAAGAAAAAUCACUCGUGAUAGCUAAGGAAAUUUAUGUACGUCUAUUUUUAGACUCUCAUGCAUUAAUUAUGUACACUUAAAAAUUAUAAUUAAAAAAUAUUUUAUUAAUUUUCAUACAUAAUAUCGUAUUAUAGCUUAGUUUGGUAUUAAGGCUCUGAUUUAACUCUAUUUGAUAAAAUAGAGUUGGGAUAAAAAUAGAUAGGCACGUAUUUCUGUAUUUUUCGAUAGUAUUGUAGAAAAUAUAUCGUAACCGACUCAUCGCGAUAUGCGGAACAUAAUAUUACGCAUAGAGUAUUUUUUCAUUAUACUUUCUCAUCGCAUGUAACGCAAUCUCUCUGCAAUUCCAAACGAAGUCUACGUAUAUUAUAAUAACUCAGUUACGAUAAAUUUAAGGAUUAAUUACAUAUAACUUUCUGUAAACAUAUCAAGUGUUAAAUAUAUUUCUAUAAAGUUCAACUUUUUUUAUAUUUAUCUCUACAAAAGUUCUAACAUUUUUAAAUAUAUUCUUAGAUUUGUUAGAAAAAUAUAUAUAGUUAACCAUAAGUAAAAUACUUAAUCCUAAUUAAUGAAUUAGGUAACUUGCUAUUUUUAUUUCUCUUAUAUUAUUUGUGAUGAUAUAAAAAAAGAAGAUGAUAGUUAAAAAUUUUGGAUGAAAUGGUAACAGUAAGGAUAUUUUGAAAUAACGAAAAAAUAUAUAAGGGGUAUAAUGGAAAGAAAAAAAAAGGUAAAUAAAAUAUUUUCAAAAUUUUCAGAGAUAUAUAUAGAUAAUUAUUUUUUUUUAAUUAUAUAUGUCAAUAAUAAAAUAAUAAACGAGGAGGAGUGUUUUGGAGACCCUAAAACAGAAAAGUCAUUUGGAAUUGACUUAGAUAUAAGAUUCCUUUGGUACAAUUUUUUAACCUAUAUGUAACCCUAACUCUCUUUGUUGAAACAUAGAGAGAGAGAGAGAGAGAGAGAGAAUGGUGGAGAUAUUGGAGUCAUGCUUAGUAGCUCCAAGUGAGGAGACCCCAAAGCAUGGGCUAUGGCUCUCGAACCUCGACCUCGCCGCGGCCCCGGGCCACACGCCGACGGUCUACUUCUACCGCCCCAGCGGUGACCACAACUUCUUUUCUGUGGAGGCGGUCAAGGCGGCGCUUUCUAAGGCCCUGGUGCCUUUCUACCCCCUGGCGGGCCGUCUCGGUGUCGGCCGGGACGGCCGCGUCGAGAUCGACUGCAACGCGGAGGGCGCGCUCUUCGUCGCGGCACGGUGCGAUUACACCGUCGACAGCUUCAGAGAGUUCGAGCCGUCGCCGGAGACGAGGAGGCUGUUCGUGCCGACCGCGGACUCCGCCGAUCCCCCCUUGGUCAUGCUCCAGGUUUCUUCGCAUAUCACUUAUAAAUAUAUGGAGCGCGCUAACAAAAUAAAUUUGAGAGACAAAUCUUUAAAUGAAAAGAAUAAUAAAUGACGGCAUGAACAAUAAUAAAAAAUAAAAAACUGAUGCUAAAUUAUAUAUAAAAAAUUUUAGAUUACUCAACAUAUAGUUUGUCGAAUAUUCAUUUUAGUAUUCUUUAGUUUUAACUUUAUCAAUGAUUUAAUAAAAAAAAUUAAUGAAUAGAAUAACAAAAAGAGAAAAAUAAAACUAUAAAAUACACAACUGAUACGAAAGUGAGAAAAUGCGAAACCACAGGGGAGAUAUUUGAAGUUUUUCUUACAAAAAUUAUUUGAAUUAUGAUAUAAAUCAAAAGAGUGAUCGACGGUUGAGAUUAAUCUUCUUUUUUUUUAAAAAAAAAGAAGAAGAACCUUGUACCUGGUACAUGCAUCAGAGUAAACUAUGUAGAACUUUCAAUUUAUUAAUACUGUAUAGUUAGGUAUUAUAGUCUCAUUUUACCACAUAAUAAUACAUAUGAAUCAGCACUUCAUACUGUUAAAUAUAAAAUAUAAUAUUCGAAGUUCUUAAGAUGUAAAUUUUAAAAAUUUGUAAACUUUUUUUGGUGUAUCGAAUACAAGGGACAUGGUAGUCCCAUCAUAAUUAAAAAAUAAUUUAUUAUAGUACAACUGUUAUUUAAUAGUGGGAACAUUUAUAUGUAGUUGAGUAUACUUGUUUAGUAUAGCUUCUAUAUAUAUUUAUCUAUAGUUCCAUUUAUUUGCUAGUGUCUUUAAUUAGUAAGAGAAAAUUUUGAAACACCUCCCACUAGAUCUACCAGCAUAUAUAAGCUCCUAAUUUCCUAAUUUAAAGCUUUUAAUAAAAUAUAUUUUAAGAAAAAUCAUUAAUAAGACAAUUUAAAUAAUAAUAUUUUAAAUAAUACUAAUAUGUCACAAUAAAAAUGCAUUUUGUUUUAUCAAAAAUGGAGAUGCUGGUACAGUGAUUCUCGUUUGCAAAUACUUAUUUUCGUUGUUUGAUGCAGUAUAAUUUCACCUUGGAUCAAAAUUCAAAAUUUUCAAAGCGACUCAGUUCUAUCCUAGGCUGAAGUCAAUUAUAAUAAAAAAAAUAAAAGUAAGAAAAAAAGUAAUUAUUAAUUCAUCUUCGGUACCUCGAGUUUUACGUCGAUCAUUUUUGGCUAAAUAAAUUACAAAAUUGAAAAAAUUUUAAUCCCACAGAUAUACAAAUGUUCUGAUUCUUUUUAAAGUUGAUGGUGCUUAUCCUUCUAUUGUAAACGCUAAAAUAUAUUAAGAAAAUGAAUAUAUUCGUGUGCAACCACGUAACAGCAUCUAAAAAUAGUGGCUUAAUUGGGGGAACCCCAAAUUUGACCAAAGCAAAAGUAAUAUUCUAAGUUCCAAUGAUUCGUAGGAACUAAUUCUUUUUUUAUUUGUGGAAACUUAGAAGAACUAAGUCGCGUCACGUCUCUGGCGCAACGAAAAAGUAAAGUUAUUUUCGAACAUAAAUACUCACAUUAUAAAUUAAAUUAUCUAUUUCAUAUUUUUUAAUUAUUAUUACUGACUUUGUCGUGUAUAGUAACUGUAUUAAUUACAAUAAAUUAAAAUUUGUGGGCUACAAUAUAUCCCCAGCCUCAUAUAUAGUUUAAUUAUCAAACACGCAAUUUAUCCUAAAAAUUACUUUGGAAUUAUAGUUAAUGUUUGCGUAUAGAAUUAUGUCACGUCUCUGUGACAACGAAAGUAAUUGUCACAGUAACUUUUAAUAAUUUGGAUGUACUUUAUCUAGUUUUGUGGCGCAAAUUGUGAUAGGCAUUAGGAUAAUGCUAAAGAUAAGGAUGAUGUAUGCAUCAGAGAGGGAAUUUAUGUUUACGAUAUUUAAAAUUUGAGGUACCUAAAUUUACUUUUUAUUUUGUUUAAUUACAUCAACUAUUUUUCUCAUUAAUUGAUCUCAAAAUGAAAGGAUUUUCAACAUAAACAAUUUAAAAAAAAUAAAUAAUACAAUUUCUUAGUUUAAAAAAAAUGUCACAAGUUGAUAAGGUCUCAAUUUUUUUUAAAAAAAAUUGUCAAGUUAUAUUUCUAGUCGAUCUCUAUGCAGUUUUAUUUUACCUUAUUUUAAUUUUUUGAGUGCCCAGCUAAUAAUGUGUUGGUCCCAAACUUUUUAUUAUUCAUAUAUAUUUAUGGGACAAAAGGCGCUAAUAAAUGCUGCGGUUCUUUGGUGCCCAUAAAGAAUUGAUUGUAUAAGGAGCUUAAUGGCGAAAUAACAAUAAUAAUAAAAAAAAUUAUUGUGGUUUGCACUCUAUAAGCUUCGCGAGUGGUCCGUGCUAUAUAUGUAGAAUUUACCUUGUCAAAAUCUAGACCAAAUAAACCCUUCUACUAAGAGCAGUGUUAUUCUCAUCGAAUCGACGCGCUCCGGCGAUAGGGGGGCUCACAGUUUACAGUGUGGGUCCGAACCCCCUGAUCAAUGGUUCUCGUCGAUUCGAAUAGAAUUUAUCUUAUUCUGAACCAAAUACGUAGGGGGCAGUUUAAAUUUGACAUGCAGGUUCAGUUAUAGUUUUCGUAGCUGUCUAAUUUAAAUUUGAAUUUGAAAUCAAAUCUACAAAACUUGAAUUUCGAUUCGAGCUGUACUAAUAAGAGAAACUAAAAGCCCGGGUCGGGCUCAGAUUUUCUGAGCCUCUUAUAUUCGGAACUGGAAGAAGGCUUCUAGUUUCGAAAAUACCUAACAUAUAUUUCAAUUUUUCGAUUCUAAGCAACUGAGCUAUUUUGCCGAGCUCUCUUAAGCUGAGAGAAGUAACAUGCAGGUGACAUUCCUAAAAUGCGGCGGGGUGGCCUUUGGAACUGCGAUGCACCACUUCGCCACCGACGGGCCCAGCGCUUUCCACUUCAUCCAAACAUGGGCCAGCCUCGCCCGUGGGGAGGCCGCCGACGCCCUCCCCCCGCCCUUCCUCGACCGCACCCUCCUCCGCCCCCGCUCCCCUCCCUCCGUCGUCUUCCACCACCCCGAAUACUCCCCCGACACAUUCUCCGCCCGCUCGACCGCGCCUUACGUCGCCGCAAUCCUCAAGCUCUCCAAAGGCCAGAUCGCGCUCCUCAAGAGCCGCGCCAGCGGCGGUGGUAGCGGCUACGCCGUGUCGACGUUCCGCGCGGUCACCGCCCACGUGUGGCGGUGCUUGUGCGUCACCCGGAAGCUCGCCCCGGACGCGCAGACGCGACUCUACCUGCCUGCUCAAAUUCGCAACCACGUAAAACCCCCACUCCCGCAGCACUACUUUGGCAACGCGUUGAUCCGCGUAUCGGCGGUCACGACGGUCACAGAACUUGUGAACGGCUCUCCGUCAUUCGCGGUCGAAAAGAUCAAGAGUGCCGUCGAUAAGGUAAACGAUGUUUACGUGAGGUCGGUCAUCGACUACUUGGAGCUGCAAGGCAAAAGAUGCAUGUCGGCGAGGAACGGAGUUAGGGAUACGGAUCUGUGGGCGAUCAGCUGGCUCGGGAUGCCGAUGUACGACGCCGACUUCGGGUGGGGGCUCCCGCAGUUCAUGGCGCGGGCGCAGCUCUACUCCAGCGGCUUCUUGUACGUGACGAGCAGCCCCGGGAAGGACGGCGGAGUGACGGCAGUGCUCGGAUUGGAGACCGAAAACAUGCACCGGUUCAAGGACUUGUUCUACGAGGAACUUUCAUGCUUGCAGUGUUAAAAAAAAAAAAAAAAAGAGAAAAAAAAAAAGGUUACAACAUUGCUGUGCUAGUUCCAAUUUGGGCUUGUUUCGAUGUCAGAACAAGUUAUUUAUCUGGUGAUAGCUUGUGUGUUACUUACGAGUUUAAUUUCGAGCUUACUAUGUAUCAAAAGUUUAAGAAUACUACAUUUUCAAUUGUUACUGAUUAAACCGAACCGAUCGAAAUGACAAUUUGGUUUAAACUGAAUAAUGCUCGUUGUUUCCUACGAUUGCGGGCUUAGGAAGGGUCCAAUCUCUACUUGCUUGGGCUCGAUUAAAUUACGCGUUGGGCCGAAUGAUGCUCCGCAAAAUAAUGCAGCCCAUUUUAGUUGGAACAAGUAUUAUUAGAUUUUACGCGCAAAUAUAAAAAAGAGUAAUACUAUUUGUACACUUACUAGUGCGGUACGAAUUUUGUACUCUACUUAUCCAAAUGCUAGUUGUACACCUACUAAUAUACUUGUUGUACAUCCCAUACAAGAGAGUACAGAUUACACGUACCCUUGAGUCCAAAGAAAAAAAUCCAAAUUAAUUUUAGUAAAUAAUAAUAAUAAUACUAAGACUAGUUAGUAGAUUUUAAUCAUAUGAAUACUAGGUUGUACAUCUUACACUACCAUAGAUGUACAGGUAACAUUGCUCAGAUUUAAAAACUUUUUUUGAAUUAGUAGUAUAAAAAAAAAUUGAUCAUAAGAUUAAGGAGUAAAUAUAAGUCUUUUGAUAGCUAAAAUAUGAGAUUUAUAAUCAUAUAGCUAUAUAUACACCUAGUACAUAGGUGUAAAUCUUACGCCGCUUUUCCUCAGAAGGUUAGGAUAUUGCGACUUGUCAUAUCAAAUUUUUGAAAAAAUACUAAAAAAUCUUAAUAACUUUUGUAAACAUUUCGAUCUAAAAGUGUGAGACAUAUGCCAGGUGUUCUAUGUCACACUCGCACCACAUCACCUAUGUCCUAAAUUAAUCAAAUCUAUCCUUUUCAGAUAAAAGUAUAAAUUUUUAAAAAACAUAAAUUAUAUGGUAUCGAUGAACGCCAAGGACACGAAAAAGUCUAAAAUGUCGCAGUUACACAUAUAACCAUUCAAUCAAAUUCAACAAACCUUUAAAAUUUAUCCACCCUAUCAUGAUUUUUAAAAUAUUUUUUAUCUAUUCUUACCUCUAAAGAAAAAAUAUGAUUGGUUUGGGAUAUAGAUGGCGUGAUAUAAACGUGACAUUGUAAAUCACCUCUUGAGGCUGUGUUUGGAUCGGGAACAAGGACGAGAAUAAGCCCUUGUUUCCCACCUUUGUUCCCAAAUAUAAAUUUUCGUACUUAAGAACAUUAAUUCUCUGGUUCCUGCAAUAAGCUGGUAUAACUCAGUACAAAUUUGAAACUAUUGUUCCAUCAUUUUUUCUGGAACAAGAUUGCUCCCAAGUGGGAAAAAGGUUAUUUAAAGUCUAAAUUUAAUUUUAAUUAUGAUAUUAAAUUAUUAAUUAAUCUAAUUAUUAUAUUUAAAUCAUUAUCAAUUACUUAAAUAAUAAAGUAAUUAAUUAAAUUAUUACUUAUAAUUAAUUACAUAAUUAAUUAUUAAUAAUUUAAUGUGAUUAUUCAUAAACUAAUAUUUAUAUUGAUCAAUCAUUAAUAUUUUUAUUAAUAUAAUUAAUUUUUUUUACUAGUUAUCAACUAAAAUAAUUUACUAACCAAUUAAAAAGUUAAAUUAUUUUUUAUAAUUAAUUAAUUAAUUAACAUAUUUUUAUUUUCUUAUAUAAUAUUCAUAACUAAUAAAAUUAUUAAUUUAGUAAAUUAUUUUUAAUUAACAUUUUAAUAUAAAUUCAUUAGAUAAAAUAUUUUAAAUUUAAAAUUAUAAUUCUUAUUUCUCUCGUUCCAAUCUACCUAUUCAAAUAUUAUUUAUCUUAUUCUCAGGAACAAUUUAAUUUUCUUUCAAAUACAAAAUUUGUCUAGUUUCUAUUUAUAUCUGAACUUAUAUCUAUUUCUAAAAUUAACAGUCUUAUUUAUAUCCGAACAAAACGCAGUCUUAAUAAGAAUAUAUAAUUUGAUUGGCUUGGGACAUGGGUAAUAUGAUGCGACAGUAGUAUUUUUGGCUGUUUCCUACGAUGCAUAAACAAAUAGUACAUUUCUUGAAAUUCGGUCACUAUACUAUCGAUAGUACAAGCAUAGUUUAUCUGGUCAGUAUCGAUUUUUUGUACUUGUUUUAAUGCGAAAGGUUACAGUGAUUGGUGGGAGUUGCGGUUGUGACGUUUCCACGUGUCCAAUAAUGUACAUGUUUGGUCACAUUCAAAUUAAAGUUUGUGAGGGACCUCUCAUUGGACCUUGUGAUGCAAUCAUUUGAAAAAAAAAGAACAAAUUAUUUUUCUUAGUAUUAGUAUAUUUGGAAAGGGCUGGGGAGUUUAAGGGGUAUUUCGCCAAGCCUUUAAAAAACGUUUUUGGGUUGAAAAAUAAUUUUCUGCUCAACAGAGCGUUUGACAACUCCACUUUUAAAACCUGAUUCUGCUUUUUAAAAUUAGAAAACUGAUUUUGAAAACACCAGAAUCAGAAGCUGAAAAAAACUGCUUCUUAAAAUCUGAUUCUGAUUUUAGACUCAAACUUCAAAAUUUUAUUUUAAUUUUAAAUUCAAUAUUUAAGUUUAAAUUNCCCACACAAUCUUAAAUUCGUAACCGAAAUACGAGAGAACAAAAACUUAGCGUCUUAAGAUCCAUCACCAAACACAUAUUGCGAUCAAAAAUAGAGAACACAUGCGAGAACACAAACUGCUUAAAUACUAAUACCCGAGUAAAGAGGAGAGAUGAGCGAUCCUACCACCUGUCCCCCUCGGAGGCCCCGACGCUCCUCCCGUAGCGGUUCCCCCCCUCGUAGCCGCCUCCGUAGCCACCGCGGGACUGGGCCUCGUUCACGGUGAUGCUCCUCCCGUCGAGGCUCUUCCCAUUCAUCCCCUCGAUCGCGUCCCGCAUCGACUGCUCGUUGGCGAAGGUGACGAACCCGAACCCCCUCGACCUCCCCGUCUCCCGAUCGUUGAUGAUCUGCACCCCCGAUUAGCAAAUCUCAACGAUCCGAUCCGCGAUCAACAAGCUCAGAUCCAGAUCUCGUAGUCUCAGAUCUCAGAUCUCAGAUCCACGAGAUCUGGAUCUCAAAUCCACACCAAAAUCAAAUCGAAACAGGGAAAAGGGAUUAGGGAUCAGGGAUCGAACCUUAGACUCCAGGAUCUCACCAAAGGGUCGGAACGCCUCCUCGAGGGUGUGGCUAUCGGUGGCCCACGCGAGGCCGCCGACGAAGCAGCGGAACUCCACCUCGGUCGUCGCCAUAGAAACCCUAGAUCGGACGUACGACAGAGAAGGGAGAAUCGGGGAGAGGGGGAGGAGAUCCAACCCACCUCUAUCAGAGCACGAGAGGAAAGAAGAAACCCAAACCCUAGAUUUAUAGAUCAGAGGCCCGCGGUAAAGUUACCCCACUCCGCAUACGAUCACCGCCGUUCCUUAUCGUCAACACAGCGUCGCGUGCGGAUCGUGCGGUGGAGAGUGGGGGAGUAGAGGACUAUUAACUUGCGCCGCGGAGUACGGGACCCACUCCCGUGGAAUAUACGAGAAUAACUAUCUCUAGUAACGUCUACGGAAACAUCCCAAGAACAAGUCGAAGAACCGUUUCUAUUGGACCAACGUGGCAACACGCGAUAUUUGGACCAAUGGAAAGUGAGUUAUUUAAAACAAUCUUCGCAUUUUGCGUCGGCGUGUUAAGCGAAUAUCGGAUGGUUUACUUUUCUUUAAAAAGUGAGCUGUACACUAGCGCGCGCGUGAUACAAGGACAGUUUCUAUGCGGAACUCCGUAUAGUGCAACUUUUAGGAAGCGGGCGUGGCCGUUGAAUUGUGCUUCGUGGGUGUAUAUGGAGGGCAUCUAAGCGAAAGGCAUAGACUCUCUAUGCGGACCUGCGCAUAGAAGUAUUUGGUCGUUAGAUACAUUGUUCGGGGUUGGGGUGAGGCAAAAAUAUCUAACGAGUGGAAUUACUGUCUUAGCCCUGGAAUAAAUGUUUCAUCGUUAUCCUUCACCCGUAGACCGACAUAAUGGCGGACACGCGGCAGGCGUUGACAGGUUGAAGAGAAUGCGGACUUGGUUCACCACGUCAUCUUGAGAUGUCCCGGAAUCCGAAUCCGAUUAACGGUGUGUUCUGUCUAAUUUUUAAAAAAUAAUUUUGGAUUAAAAAAUAAUUUUCCAUUCAAUAGAGAUUUGUCAAUCUUAUUUCUAAAAUAUGAUUUCGAAGAAAAUAUGAUUUCGAAGGUUCCUGAGAAGCAAAAAUAAAUUGCUUCUUAAAAUCUGAUUCUGAUUUUGAACUCAAACUUUAAAUUUUUAUUUUAAUUUUAAAUUCAAUAUUUAAAUUUAAAUUUAAUUUUAAAUUUUAAUUUUCAUAUUUAUUUUUAAAUUUUUAAUUUUCAUAUUCAUUUUUAAAUUUUUAAUUUUUAAUUUAUAAAUUUUAAAUUUUGAAAAAUAGAUUGCAAACUUUAAAUUUUAAAUUUUAAUUUUUAAAUUUUAAAUCUCAAAUUUUAGAUUUUAAAAUUUUAAAUUUUAAGUUUUAGAUUUCAAAUUUACGAUAAAUUUUAAAAUUUGAUAUUUUAGAUUUUAAAUUUUAAAUUUAAACAUUUAAAAGUUUUAAAUUUUAAAUUAUAAAAUUUAAUCUUCAAUUUAAAAAUUUCAAAAUUUUAAAAUUUAAAUUUUAAAUUUUUAAAUUUUGAAUAUUCCAAUUUUAAAUUUUAAAUUUCAAAUUUCAUACUUAUUUUAAAUUUUAAAUUUCAUAAUUAUUUUAAAAUUUAAAUUUUAAAUUCUAAAUUUAAUUAUUUUUAAAUAUUAAUGUUUUAUAUUUUAAAUUUCGUAAUUAUUUAUAUUUUUAAAUUUAAAUUUAAACUUUUAAAUUUCAAAUUUACUUUUAAAUUUUAAUUUUUAAAUUUCAUUAUUAUUUAUAUUUUUAAAUUUAUAUUUAUGUUUUUAAAUUUUAAAUUUUUAAAAUUUUAAAUUAUUUUUAAAUUAAAAUAUCAAAUUUUAAAUUUUGUACAAUUUUGAAAAUUAAAAAUUUUAAUUUUAAUUCAAGUUUAAAUUUAGUUUUUAAAUUAUUUUAAAAUAAAAUUUAAUAAAAAUAUUAAUUUAUGCAAAUAUCAAAAAAAAUUCGCCAAACUGUUUUUCAAAAUCGCUUUAGAAAAAUCGUUUUUAUCUAAACUCAGCCAAAUGCUCUACACCUUUUAACCAAAAUCAUUUCUGCAAACUAAAAUUACUUUUUCAGAAGCUAGGCCAAACGGGCCCUAUCUGCACCAUUAAUAGAUUAUUAUGUGCACAAUUUAAUUAAUUAAUUUUGUCACAUAGUUGGGAACACGCACUUUUUUAUGCAACAUAUUUUUUUUGGGUACUGAUAUUUUCAAAAAAUUCUAUACUCGCAUAUAAGAGAUGCUAUUAUUUAUAUAUAAAUUAACUAUGAAAAUAGGAUUUUCUUUUUUAAAUUAUAUUAAUUUAUUGACGCAUGCAUACCCAUAAAUUAAAAAUACUCCUAAUUAGAAAAGAGCUAAUGAAUUAACAAUUCGAAAAUUAUUGGUAAACAAACUAGUUUGUUAAAUUUACUAGUUUUUUAUGAUAUAAAUUUGAUCAAAUUUGUUAAAUAAAAAUUAGAUUCUAAAAAAUUUUGUAAUCAAACUUUUUUAAGAAAAAAAGGGCAAUUGUUCUUUUUAAUAUGAAUCGUGAUCGUGGUUGGUGGGAGUUGCGGCUGUGAUGAGUUACACGUGUGAAAAAAUGUUUGGUAAAAUACAAAUUAAAUUUAGGCCGUUGAUCAUAGCCUCUCAAAGGUGGAUAACCUCAUUUAAAAAAUAAUAAUAAAUAAAAAUUUGUACAUUUGAACUCAAUUUUUUUUUAUUCUGAUACCAUAUUAAAAAAUAUGAAACAACUAAUCAUUAAUCUUCAAUAGCUUAAGCUGUCAACAAAUUGUAUUUUGACGCCAUAUUAAAGAAUAUGAAGUAGCUGCAAUUUCCAAUAGUUUAAGCUGUGAACGAAUGUUAUUAUUUUUUUUUUUGAGAGAGAGAUAGGUAGUACGCUACUCGCUUCGUUUAUUUCAUUUAGAAAUAAACUUAGUUAGAAAUGUGAAUCAACUAGGAUUCGAAUUUGGGUCUCGGAUACCAACCACCAAAUCCUUUGCCACUAACUCUAUAGACGGUCGGUAACGAACGUUAUUUUUACUGCAAGGAGCAUUGAGGAACUCGAAAUAAGAAUCUCCUGUUCUAAUGCCAAUAUUAAAGAAUAUGAAACAAUCAUUAAUCUCCAAUAGCUUAAGUUGCCAGCGAAUGAUACUUUAAUACCAUAUUAAAGAAUGUAAAAAAAGUUGUUAAUCUCCAAUAGCUUAAGCUGGUGGCGAACGGUAUUUUUAAUGCAAGGAGCACUGCAGAACUCAUAUUCACGACUUCCUACGUACCCUAAUAACAUAUUAAAGAAUGUGAAACGAUUGUUAAUCUUUAAUAGCUUGAGCCGUCAGCGAAUUGAAUUUUGCUAUCUAUUCGUUCAUUUUCGGUAGCUUAAAUUGCCAACGAACAAUAUUUUUAAUGCAAGAAUUAUUGCGGGAUUCAAACUCAUGACAUACUAUUCUGAUACUAUAUUAAAAAAAUAUAUAAAAUAACCGUUGAUCUUCAAUAGCUUAAGCAGCGAGCGAAACAAAGAUGCAAAGAGCAUAUUGCAAACAAAGUAAAAUAAAAAUUUUCCAUUAUUGUACAUGAACAUAAAUUUCCAUGGCCUAGCAUUUUUGAAAAUUAAAAAUAUACAAACAUGAAUUCAUGUGUUUAUGUGACGCCCCAACUUCCCAGGGGGUCACACAUCCUAGGACUACUCCUGUCCCAGCACGCUUAACUCUCUUAACCUCUUGGGCCUUGCCACCACUCAACAUGCUUAAGCUGGGUUAAGAGUUUAGCCCUAUUAUAUCUCAUAUAUAGGACUACCCGGGGUCUCACAAUCUCCCCCCCUUUACGCCCUGACGUCCUCGUCAGGCUCAAACUCACAAGUACCAGGCGAUGUGAGACUUGUCUCGCUAGCCCGUCAUCCAGACCCUGGCUCAGCCGAGACUCAUCUCACACUUCCGGCUGGUAAUUGGCUCUGAUACCAUCUGUGAUGCCCCAACUUUCCAGGAGGUCACCCAUCCUAGGACUACUCCCGUCCCAGCACGCUUAACUUUCUUAACCUCUUGGGUCUUGCCACCAUCCAAAAUGCCUAAGCCGGGUUAAGAGUUUAGCUCUAUUAUAUUUCAUAUAUAGGACUACCCGGGGUCUCAUAGUUUAUUUAGUCAAUUUCUAGUGGAAAAUGUUAACUAAUUAGUACUACCCACGUAACAUGCAUGUGUUCUAUAAAUAAACUAAUGAAAAGUUAGUGGAUUUGCCUCCUCAACGUGUCAUAAACUUAUAAUAAACUCCUCCUCAAAGGACACAAAAAUUGAAAUAAAAGAUUAUAAAAUAGAGUAAAAUAUUUGCAAUAAUUUUAUUUAUGUAUUUUUCCUUCAAGUUGUCAUUUGUCGUCUUAUUAGUUGGACAUUAAUGAGAUGCAAUUAAAAUGGGCCCAUUUUGCCCUUAAAAUAAUGGCAAAUAAAAGAGCACCACUAAAUUGUGAAAUGUGAACAUGCAUGCGAAACAUUAUUAAGAUUAAUUCUAUAGAAUCAUCUAAAUUUUUUUGGCUUAUUUGCGCAUAUACAGCUGUUAAAACUUUAAAAAUUUUAUGUUUCUCACCCAAAUUUUUAACUUUGUAUAUUUUUCAAUUGACCAUCUAAAUUUUUAUUUUACUAAUUUAAAGUUCUCUUAAAAAAAAAUGAACGUUAUACGCCAAUAAUAUUGGAGGAUCUUGUUGACGUUGAAAUUUAUUCUUUCAAUAAAAAAAAAGUAAUAUUUUACUAUUAAUUACUAAAAGUAAAUGUUAAUAAUUAUAUUUAGGUGAAAGCUUUAAAAUUUAGGUAGCUGUAUGUAAAUGGGCGAAAAAUCGGUGUUUCUGGCGCAUUUAAAUUUUUGUUAACCUCUUGCGUGACGCCCUACAUUUCAAGAGAUCAUACAUUCUAGGACUAUUUAGGAUCUUACAUUCUUCCCUCUCUUUAAGCCUUGACGUUUUCGUCAGGCUCAGAAUCACAAAUAUCAAGCGAUAUGAGACUUAUCUCGCUAAUCUUAACCGACCUUGUGAGGGAGCCGCGCUAGCUCUACUCACAGCAGUUAUCAGCAUGAGAGUUUCGCUCUACACACGCUGUAUAAUCUGACUAAGUUGAGGCUCAUCUCACGUUUUCAGCUGAUAAUUGGCUCUGAUACCAAUAGCUAGCGACACCCUACUUUUCAGAAGUCACUCAUUCUAGAACUAUCUGAGGUCUCACAUUUUGAUUCUCUAAAACGCUACUCUUAGGACGAAUUGACCUGCAUACUAUCAAAAAUUUUAAUUAGUUUGUGAAUACAACGUUAAAUAUAAAAUAAAACCACUUUCGUUGGUUUAAAUUUUUAAAGAUAAUUAAUUGUUUGAUAUGAUAUUAGAACAAUUAUUAUCAGAUCCGCAAAUUAAUUUCAGUUCCACGUUCCACAAAUAUAAAAAACAAAAAUAAAAUGCUAAUAAUAAUAAAAAAAGAAUAUAUCGUGUGAGCGUGACAAUGACUACGACGAUUUAAUUAUUAAAUUAUUGUGUAUAUCGCAUGUACGUAGUUAACUAUGUGACAAAAAUUAAUCAUACACCAAUUAAAAAUUGUGGCAUAUGACAAAAUCACACAUAAAUUAAAGUGUAGGCACGGUCACAUUUUUGUAUUUUAGGUAUAUAUGUAAAUUGAUAAACAAUUUAACAUAUCAUCCAUCUCGUGAUUGUGAAUCAUAGGAGUACUAAUAUAUUUUUUUUUGCUACACUUUUUUUUUUCGAAUAAACUAAAAUAAAAAUUUUAGACUAUAUAUAUAUAUAUAUAUAUAUAUAUAUAUAUAUAUAUACAAAAUAUUUUUGGUUUAGCAUUUUUGAAAAUAAAUAAAUAAAUGCAUGCGUUCAUGCGUUUAUUUUAUUCAAUUUAUAGUGGUGAAUAAAUAAGAGUUUUUAUAAAUUAAUGAAAAGUUAGUGAAUUUUCCUCCUCGGACGUGUCAUGAUAAACUCCUCAAAACACUCAAAAUGGAAAUGAGAAAUUAUAAAUAGAAUAAUUAUAUUGUCCAUAGUUUUUAUUUAUUUAUUUAUUUAUUUUUCUUUCAAGUUGUUACUUGUCUCAUUGUGACAUAUAUUCAUUUAUUAAUUAGAAAUUAAUGCGAUCCAACUUGGAUCGCAUUAAUGGUGAAGGAUUUUUACAUAUUGGAAAAAAAGAAAAAAAAAAGAAAAAAAAAAGAAAAGAAAAAGAGCACCACUAUGUUGUGGUUCUACAGUGGAACAAUGGAAAACAUAAAUUAAGAUAUAUUUUUGUUCACUUUAAUUCUACAAAAUAUUUCUUAUUAUUUACAAGACAAAUUUCUCAAUUAAUAACUUUAUUUGAGAAAGACUUAUUUAAUUAGUUGCUAAAGUUAAAAAAAAAUUAAGAUGACGGUUAAUAAAAAUGUGCUAAAAAUAUAUAAAAAAAAUAUUAUCUCAAUUAUUGCCUAUUUGGAUUUAGCUAUCUAAUUUUUAAAAUUUUUAAUUUAACUACCAGACUUUUUAAUUUAUUUGAUUUAAUAAAUUUGUGACUUUUUAACUUCAAGACUUGGAUACAAUGUUUAUCUUUACAAAUUUAAUUAGUAUAUUUUAUAUAAUUUAUUUAAUUAUAAAUUUAUUAAAAUAAAUAAUUAUUUUAAAUUUUAUAUUAGAAUAGCCAUCAAAUUUUUUAAAUCAACAAAUUGAAAGAUUAGAUACUGAAAUUAAAAUUUUAAAGAUUGGAUAAUCGAAUUAAAAUGGUCAAUAGUGUGGUUCAAAAAGCGCUAACCAGCUAUUCCAAAAGUACGCACCGAUAAGAAUGAGACAUUCAUCGCACUUAAGUACUCAGGCUUAAAUCUUAAGCUACCCCAAAAAGUACGUGCUGAUAAAAGGGCGCAUCCAUCGCAAGCUCAGCCUUUAAGCACUCAGGUAUAGUGCUCACGUGUUUCGACCUGACUCAAUCCAUCUCGUCGAUGAAUCGAUUAUUGGAUAUCUUACCAUUAGGUCUAAUUGUGAACUAUAUUUUUACUAAAGAUAUUGGGCUUAAUACAACUCAAUUUAUUAGCGCCCUAAAUUUAUUAUUAAGAAAUAAAAAAAUUAAAUAUAGUGCAUUCAACAAAUACUUUCUAAAAGUUUUAUAUAUUUUUACCUAAAACUGACAGAGUUCUAAUCUUAUAUAGGUAAAAAAAAAAAAAAAAAAGGCAUUAAAUGUGAAAGGGUCUUUGAUUUGUCCCAUCCUUGUAAAUGUCCAUAUCAAAUAUCAAAUAAUCAAAACAAUGGAUCCCACAAAAGUUGAAUUUUAAUCAAUUUAAGAUAACCAAUAAAUAGAUUAGCAACUGUAUAAGUUUAGAAGGCAAAAUUAUACUAAACUUAUUUGAAUUAUAGACUAUUUUGAAUCAACUAUUUAAUCUUUUAAAAUUUUAAUUUAUUAUGCAAUCUCUUAAUUUGUUUGAAUUUAGUCGGUCAGCAGCACUUUGACUUCAAAUUUGAAUGAAUCGUUUAUUUUUACAAAUUUAAUUAUAUACUGUAUAUAAUUAUGGUAAAUGUAAAUUCAAUAAAGUAAGAAUUAGCUUAAAUUUUAAAGUCAAAUUUUAAAGCAAUUAAGAAUUAGCUUAAAUUUAAUAAAUUAAAAGAUUGGAUAAUAAAAUCAAAUUUUUAAAAGACCACCAAAUCUGGUCGAUAGCAGUACUUUGAGACUUGCAUAUAUAAUUUUGUAAAAAGUUUGAAACAGAAAGAAAAUUAUUUUAUAUUCUAGUACAAAAAAUAAUAAUAAAAUUAGAUGGAUCAAUGUGGUUCUACGAUAAGUUCUGGUGCUUAAUUAUCAUAAAUAAAAGAGAAGAAACACCAUUUUUUGUUUGAAAUUUUGAAAAAUUAUGUGUAAACUAAGAAACCAAAACAGUAGUGUAAUUAAUAAGCUCUAGAGAGUUGCUUAUUAAAUUAUUUGAUAACUAUUCAAAGGUCUAAUUUUUCAAAAUUAAAAGUAUAAAAAUCUAGUUGCAAAAAUAUUAGAGGCCUUUCAUAAAUGUUAUUUUUACUGAAGUUCUGCACGUAAUUAUCAAAACUAAAAGGGAGUGUAUAUAUAUAUAUAUAUGGUCCGCUACUUACAUUAUGUAGUACGAUCACUCUCGGUACUCAUAAAGUUUGUUUCGAUAUAGAGCCUUCGCAAUCGAUGAUCGCACACCGUUAAACGUUAAUUUACAAUCAUGUAAGAACUUCUUAAAAUUCAAAUUUUAUACAUUUUUCGACAUCAUUUACCCUUAGCGGUCAAGAGGUCACAAAUUUGACAAUUUUUUAACGGCGUUAGAUACAUGUAGUUUUAACGCGUGUAAAAGAAUCGAAAUUUAUGAAUUUUUGAUUAGAAAAAUUCUAUUCAGCUACAUAAUAAAAAUCAAUAACUCCGAUCUUAAUUGAAGGACCGAUCAUCCUUUUUUAGGGACGUCGUUCGCGAUUGAUCCGUUCAGUUUUGCCGCACUUGAUGAACUUUAUUAGAUAUUCGAGAAAAUUUACGAAAUUUAUUUUUUAGAAGUAUUCAAAUACUUUAUGAUCAUAUUUACGGAGUAUAUUUCGAUUUCGGAUCUCCAUCAUUGAAAAACCAACUAUAUGCAGUACUGAGGGCUUCCAAUUAUCAUAAUAUGAUUAGUAGGCCAGGGCCUAUAUAAUAUAUAUAGUAUAUAUUAUAUUGAUGAGAGACGAGAGAGCAAGGAGAGAGAUUUUGAGAGAGAGAGAAGAGAAGUUACUAGACUACUAUAGUAGCAAAAAUUUCAUUGUUCUACCAUAAUUUUUAGCAUUUGGUAUCAAUUUUCUCUUUUCAUUAUUGCUAACCAUUGAAUAAAAUAUAUAGACCCAUGUGGACCAAUCACAUACCCGGGACCACUCAACACUAACGAUAAUAUCAUCCUGACACCUUACAAUUUUUUUUUCUCAUCCCAAGGGUUAAAAUUUGAUAGGAAAAAGAGCUUUUUACUAUUAAUCAGUAUUCAGUUCGAUAUAGAAUUUAGGCUCGAAUACUAUUAAUAGUAAAAACGCUUCUUUUUCCUAUCAAGAUAUUUAACUUCCUGCGAUGAAAAAUUUGUAGUGUCAAGACAUGAUAUUAGCGGUUAGUGCUUGUUUUCCCACUUGCCUAGUUGAUGGUCCCCACUGGUUAUAGUUUUAAGCUCCAAUGGCUUAAGAUAAUAAUACAAAAGUUGAUUCCAAAUAUUCUAAAAAACUGGUAUGCAACAAUGAAAUUUUGCUACUAAUACUAGCCCAGUCCAACUCUCUCUCUCUCUCUCAUCUCUUCUCUCUUCUCUCUCUCUAUAUAUAUAUUAUAAUAUAUUAUAUAUAUAUACGUCCGUACCACUUACAUAUCGAUAAGUACCAACUCUAUACUAUUGAGUUCUCUAACCGUAGACCAACACAUUCUGAUCAUUCCACCCGUUAGACUUUAGUAAUAUUAACCAAGCCACCCACUCAACCAUAAGAGGACCACUAUCAAUAACGGGACCACUAUGAUCCUACUGCACAUCUUAUUUAUCCAACGGCCGAAAAUUCAAUAGCUACCAAAGGCUGGUACUAUUGAUAUUAUAAUACUAAUCAUAAUAUAUAUAUAUUAUAUAUAUUAUAUACUAUAUAUUAGUAUAUAUUUGAGUCGUUAUGGUGCGUAUAAAAGUACAAGCACUUGGUGCUUGUAAUUUUUUAAGUCCGUAUAGAUCUACGCUUUGAUCAUUUUCACCGUUAGAUUAUACUAUUCAACCACCACCCACUAAACCAAGGGGUGGGUGGUAUAUCUAUAUAUAUAUAUAAUAUAUAAUUAUAUUAUAUUAUAUAUAAUAUAUAUAUUUAUAUAUAAUGGUGAUCCUCCAUGCCUAUAUUAAAAGUUAACCAAAAUCAUUGUGCUGUAAAGUUCUUUAGCCCUUGAAUUAAUAAAUGUGCGGUUAGAGAUGCGAGCUCCCUAUGGGUUGAUGGCGUGGUGUUGAAUAGUAUCAAUCUAACGCUCUGUAAAGAUCAUCAGUGCUGAUCUACUACGUUAAAAAACCUACCAAGCACAUAAGUCAUUGCUGCCUGUUUUAGUCAACGCCCAUAGCGUACUAUAUAAUAAUAAUAUAUAAGUAAUAUUAAUAUAUAUAUAUAUAUAUAUAUAUAUUAUAUGAGCAGGGCUGCUCUGCUCUCAGUGACAACGGCAGGCCCUGUCCUGAGCCGUUUUUCAUGAUUGGAAUUUCGCAAUCUGACGAUUCCUCGCUCCGUUAGACUUGAUCUAGCGCAUUUGAAGUUUCUUAGAUCAAAUAAUUUUUGUGCAUUUUUCGAUCUCAUUACCUAGUGAUCGAAAUGAAAUUCAAAAUCCAUAAAUUUUAAUGUUGAUAUUGCCCGUUUUCAAGUAACAGUGUAGAAGUAUUCAAAUAGAUGAAAUUUUAAUAGAAAAUUUCUUUACUACUUACAACAAAUCUAUAUAUUCUGAUCGAGAUUUUUAGUACCUUAUCUACAACUUUUAUAGAAUUUUUAUUUCAGCCGUUAAAAUUAAUUGAUUUUGAAUUCCUUUCGAUUGCUAGGGUAAAUAUAUCGAAAAACGCAAAAAUUAUUUUCCUAAAAUUUAAAUACAACGUAGAUCAAGUUAACGGAGCCGAUCGUGCGAUUCGAAAACUCCAUCAUCGAAAACGGUCUAGGUGAGCACGGAGGCCUCCGGCCCUGAAGCACGCACCUGCGACUAUAUAUAUAUAUAUAUAUAUAUAUAAUAUAUAUUCUUCAAAAUUCAUAUGUCAAACAUGUAAUCGAAAUGGUCGAGCAAUUAAUACGUUCGUGUAAAGAGAGAGGUGUACAUUAUUUGACUAUUUGAUGCGUAGAAAAAAUGGACUAAAAAUCAGAAAUUACGAUUUUAGAACCCCCAAUAGCGUAUAUAAAUUAUUGGGAGAUUCUCAAUAGAUUUAGCUGUUGACGGAGAUCGUAUGGCCCGACGGAUACGGAGCCUACAGAACCAAAAGAUGGAGAGAGAGACGUCAGUCUCAGAUAGAGACCGGGGCCGAAGAGAGAUCAGACAGAGAAAUAUAGCAACCGGUCGCGCCCACAGCACGAAACACGAGAAGAGAGAUAUUUGUCUCGAAGAGGAAAAAAAUUUAGAAUGCAACGAAUAUAUUGGUGACGUGACGUAACAAAUCAAUCAAAUAUCUUCUUUUAGAGGUAUACGUUUUAUAAUAAUUGUAAAAAGAAUAUUUUUAUUAUACUUUUGUUUUAAAAAAAGGAAUGUGAUUGGCUUGUUAUUGAUGACGUGGUGCAAGUAUGACAGUAUAGAAUUCAUCCUCGAAGAGAGGUCGGAAUGAUAGAUCAGAGAGAGAGAGGACAAUCAGCGGAGCCUCAAAUGGGAAAGCAAAGCAGGAAUCCAAGCAACCGAAAAGCCGACAUGCAGAUAUUUGAUUAUUUCCGACGUAACGAGUAUUCAAUUUAAACACUCUAAUAAUGACUUAUCAGAGAAAGAAGUGUUGAAUCCAACUCUGUUUUGAAUUAGUCUAAUAUCACUGCAAAAGCUUAACUUAAUAGAUAAAAAACCUCUCGAUUUAUCAAACAAUUCAGAAUUCUAAUUUAUAUUUAAUACGAAACUAAUAUAUUUAACGUUUCUGCUCGGCCUGUGUUAGGUUUUACUAGCGAAUGAAAAUUGGACAAAAAUGGACUAAAAAAAAGAUGAGAAUUGUAUUUUAGCUUUUCCAUUAAUAUCAUUUUUUUUCUAGGGAAAAUUUUCAAUUGGCCCCUGUGGUUUAGUGUAUUUUCAAUUAGGUACUUUAUGAUUUGAAUACCAUUAAGUAAGAUACUAAAUAGAGACAAUUUAUAAACUAUAGGAUAAUAAAUUAAUAUAUUUUUCAAAUCAUGGGAUAGUAAAUUGUAGCAUUUUUGUAACUUAUACUUUUAUAUAGCGUGGUUUUUAAAUAAAUUAAUUUAGUACUCUACUUAACGGCAGAUCUUAAUGAAAAAUGAGACACUUUAAAUCGCAAAAUACCAAACUGAAAAUAUGCGAAAUCACAGCAGAGCAAAAUGGAAGCUUUAUCUUAUUUUUAAUCAGGAAGUUUUGAGCUAAUCAAGGAUUAGUUUAAAUUAAUCAAGGUUAGUUAACCAAUCCAAUUCAAUUAAUCCAAUUGAAUUUAAAGUUGUCUGCAUCAGUUGGCAGUCUUUUCUGCCAAUCUUUAAAUUCAUAUUCCGUGAAAGACUUUUUCUCAUUCCCUGACAAAGAAUGGUACUAAGAUUGAUUGCUGGGACUACGACGACAACAACGACGACGAUAGUGGCAAAAUCCACGUAAAUUAUUCAUUGUAUUUGAAAUUUUUUGAUUGAUUAAUUAGCAAGUACUUACCGAGUCUCGUCGAUCUCACGAUGUCAAGGUAAACGUAAGCUAUGCGGCAAAUACCAAAGAUCAUGGAACGAUGACGAUGGUGGCGGCGAAACCACGUAGAUUGCUUCUUCUACCUGGAGACUGUGGUUUGAUUGGCGAACAAUCACCCAAUUUCAUCGAUCCCUCGAUCUCAGAUUAGAAGUUUUUAAGUCAUGUCACAAUUUCCAAACCUAAUUUAUUGCUCGUACCUAUUUGUGCCUAACCAAUCCAAUUUAAUACAUGUAUUAUAUUUGUUGAAUAUAAGAAUAUAAAAAUAUCAUUCUCUAAAAGCUUACUGUAUUAGAGAAAAUAUUUUUAUCAAAUCAGAAAGUUUCGGAUUCGAAUACAGUCAGGCUCUUACAGUUUAGUAUAUUAAAAAAAAAGUUAAUUUAAUUAUAUUGCACAUUUCCAAACCUAAUGUAUUUUUUCAAACCAUAUUUAUGCUUAACCUAUCCAACUCAAUAUAUGUAUUGCAUUUGCUGAUUAUAAAUAUAUAAAUAUAUAAAAAGAAGUUAUUUUAUGUUCUCUAAGAUGGUGGAAAAAUAUGAGAAUAAGAAGUUUUGAGUUCAAAUUCCAUGAGAGUCCCAACAUCUACUAUCUUAAAAAAAAUUUAAUUUUAUAAUUAUAAUUUAGAUUAAUCUAAUGCAUGUAUUGCACAUAUCCAAAUCUAAUCUAUUGCUCAUAUAUACCUCUUUAUGCCUAACCAAUCUAAUUUAAUAUAUGUAUUAUCUUUGUUGAAUUUGAAAAUAUAAAAAUACCGUUCUCUAGUAAUUUAAAGUAUUAGAGAAAAAUAAGCAUUUUACAUUUUUUUUAACAUGAUAUUGGAAUAAAAAGUUUUGAGUUCAAAUUCAGUGGGACUCUUCACUUCUAUUGUCUUAAAAUUUUAAAUUUUUAUAAUUAUAAUUCAGAUUAAUCUUGUGCGUGUAUUGCACGGAUUAUAUAUGCAAGAAAAGUACCCAAAUUCUCAUUUUGUGAUAUGAAUGAAAGCGAAUGAAUUGAUUAGUGAUCAAUAAUUAGAUUAUAAUUUGUCGCGCCAUUUCAAAUAGAAACCUAAUUCUAGCUUAGUUUACCACUUAUAAUCUAAUAAAGGACAUUACUAGGACCCUCACAAAUGCAAGCAAGCACCAAAAUUAGCAAUUUGUGACAUGCUUAAGUAACCUACAAAGUGAUUAGUCAAAACUUAUAUAAGGUGACAUCAUUUUCAAACCUACAUCUUAGUAUAGCUUAAGCAAUUUAUAAUAAAGGAUAUCUCUAGAACUUUACUGAUGAAAGGAAAAUAGCAAAAUUCUCUAUUCAUGAUAUGUUAGAAUAACUUGGAUUUUUUUUUUCUUAGGGAAAACAAGCCCUGAGGCGAUUUUAUUUAAUUAAUCAAUGAAUACAGACUGAGAAAAUUCAUCAAUUGAAGACAAAAAAAAAAAAACUUUUUACUAGCGAGGUCUCAAGUGGCCAAGCGAUCCGCGACUAUAGCAUUCUUAGAAAAUCUCAAGAUGGAUUUGAAUAUCUCUGUAAAAAUCCAUAGCUCUGUGAUUCUUGUCCGAGUUUCAGGUGUUUAGCAAAUCUAAAUGAUAACUCCUGAGGUGCAAAGUUUUGAUAUUAAUUAGAUGCUGAAUCUGAGAAGAUAUGAAAAGUUUCUCCAAAAUACAUUUGUAAAAGAAGCUCUAUCGCUCAAGGGAUUGCUCCAAUUUCCACCGAGCAACUUCGAAAUUGAUUAGUCAAAAUAUAAAUAGUGAGCCAUCAUUUUCCAAUCAAAAAUAUAUACCAAUCUUAGGCCAACAAAUUUGAAGGACAUUAGAAGAAUCUCGAUAGAUGGAAGUAAAAAUCCAAAUUUUUAUAUAUAAAAAUAUUAUGCAUUGGAUGCUACAUAAAAUUAUUGGCAAAAAUAUAAAAGAACAUCCCCAUCAAUACUCUCAUUUUUCAUUUUUUCUCUCUGCCUUUCAAAAUUUAUAUUUUAUUCCCUUAAAAUUUUAAUUUGAUGCAUUUAAUUUUCCUUCGUCAGAGUUUCGUCACUAUUCUCUCCCGUUCUUAUAAUUUAUACCGAAAAUACUUUGUAAAAUGAUAGAAAUAUACUAUUUUUUAUAUAUAUAUAUAGAGCAAGUAAGAGCAAUUUUGUUAUUUCUUCAUCUUUAGCUAUUAACGCAUAACCUUGCGAAAAUAUUUUUUUAAUUUUAGAGGUGCAAAAUUUAGAUUUUUGAAAGUGAGAGAGAAAAAAAUAAAAAAAUAGAUAUUUACAGAAAAUUUUUUAUAUUUUUCCCAAAACUAUUCUUACAGGCAUACUUUUAUUUUUUUUUUCUUUUCACNUAAUCUAACGGGUGAAAAUGAUCAAAGGUGCAUAUCUAAUGGUAAAAAAUUCACAAGCACCAAGUGCUUGGUACUUUUACAAAUAUAGAGUUGAGCUACAAUACUAUCUGUAGUAAACGAGUCGUUUUACUACCGAUUUGUUUUCGAUGAUAGAACUUCCAAAUUGACAAUCGGCUCCGUUGAAUAUGAUCUAUACCACUUGAAGUAUUUAGAAAUCAAAUUUCAUACUUUUCCUAUAUUGUUCUCUUGUCUAUCAAGAUCGAGAGUAUAGAUCUUGUUCUAAAUAGUUUAAAGAAUUUUCUAGCCAAAAUUCAAUUGAUUUGGAUAGCUUUACACCGUUAAAUGAGAAAAUGCUUCAUAUUUACCAUUAAAAUUAUAAAUUUUAAAACCUUUUGAUCAUUAGGUCAAUGAUGUCAAAAAGAUUUGAAAUUUAGUUUCUAAAUACUUCAACUAUUAUAGAUCAUGUUCACCGGUGCAAAUAGUCAAUUUGGAGUCUACAUCAUCGAAAACAAAUGGGUGGCAACGAAGGCCGUUUGCUACCGAUAGUAUUUUAGCUCAACUUGGUGCUAUUGAUAGUAUUCCAGCCUAAUUUUAUAUAUAUAUAUAGAGCAAGUAAGAGCAAUUNNNNNNNNNNNNNNNNNNNNNNNNNNNNNNNNNNNNNNNNNNNNNNNNNNNNNNNNNNNNNNNNNNNNNNNNNNNNNNNNNNNNNNNNNNNNNNNNNNNNNNNNNNNNNNNNNNNNNNNNNNNNNNNNNNNNNNNNNNNNNNNNNNNNNNNNNNNNNNNNNNNNNNNNNNNNNNNNNNNNNNNNGGUUAAAUCUAACGGUGGAAAACUCGUUAGCACCAAAUCCUUGGUACUAUCGAUAGUAUCCCAACCGGACUCUCUCUCUCUCUCUCUCUCUCUCUCUCUCUCUCUCUCUCUCUCUAUAUAUAUAUAUAUAUAUAUAUAUAUAUAAUAAGUCUUGUGUGCUAUUAGGAGCACAAGUCUUGUGUGCUAUUAGGAGCACGGAGGCGGAGGUCUCCGUGCUCCUAAGCCGUUUUCAAUGAUGGAGCAUCCGAAUCGACAAUCGGCUCCGUUAGACUUAUCUAACGUAUUUGAACUAUCUAGAAAAUAAUUUUUGUGAUUUUUUGGUAUCAUAUUUCUAGUGAUCGAAAGGGUUCAAAAUCAACACUUGGUGCUAUAUAUAGAGUCCGGCUGCUAUGCUAUCGAUAGCACCAAGCAUUUGGUGCUAUCAAAUUUUCUACCGUUAGAUUAACCCCUUCCAUUAUUUUUACCCGUUAGAUUAUGCUAUUCAACCAACCACCCACUCAACCCUAGAAGACCCACAUCAUCCUAACCGCACAUUUGUCAAUCCAAGGGCUAAAAAAUUAAUAGCACCAACAACUUGGUGCUAUUGAUAUUAUUUCAGCCUAGUUCUAUAUAUAUAUAUAUAGUCUGUCUACUAUAUUCUUAUAAGUACGAUCACCUUCGCACUCAUAAGUUGUUUUUUAUAAUAGAGCUUUCGAAUCAACGAUUCAUGCCGUUAAAUAUUUUCUAGAAUAUUUAAAACUUCUAGAAAUUAAAUUUUAUAAUUUUUUGACAUCAUUUACCUUAUGAUUAUUUCUAAGGGCGCGGUAUGGGAUACUUGCUAAUUUAACGAGGUAAAAGAAUCAGAAUCGGUUGAAUUUUUUAUUAAAAGUUCUAUUCACUAUCUAGAAAAAAAUCAAUAACUCCGAUCUUAAAUUGAAGGAUCCGACAUCCAUUUUUAGGACAUCGUUCAAUUUUGACCGUUCAUUUUUUGCCUACUUGAUGAAUUUUAUUAUGAUUUCAAAAAUUAUAAAAUUUAUUUUUUAGAAAUUUUAAGUACUCUAGAUCAUAUUUAACGGAGUGGAUCGUCGAUUCGGAAGCUCCAUCAUCGAAAACAACUUAUGAUUACAAAGGGCUCUAUACUCAUAAGAGUAUAGUAGCCCUACUCCUCUCUCUCUCUCUCUCUCUCUCUCUCUCUCUAUAUAUAUAUAUAUAUAAUUUUUGAUUUACCUCGGGCUACUAUUCAAAAUUUUCAAAAUUAUCUGAAACUACCAAAAUAUCCUUCUAAAUCUCAUAUUCUAUUACUAAAAUUUUUUUAAUUUAUCAUGAAAUUAUCAAAAUAUCCUUCUAAAUCUCAAAUUCUACCGUAAGCUCUAGGAGUUCGGGAAUAUUUGAAAGAAUUUGUGAAAAUUAAUAAGAACAUUUUGGUAAACCAGAAAUAUAUUAAAUAUUUUUAAAAUUUUGAAGGAUAAAUUAGAUAUUAUCCCGAAUAAUAUGUACAUACGUAGAAUCAAAUAGCCCUUUUAAGCAACAAGAUCUAAUAAAGCGUGUUACUAUAAUUAACCUCUAUGAAAGUAAGCAAAGCAGCAAUAAGUGAAGUGAAGAUAUAAAUAAAAUAUAUUAACAUUUUCAAAUCAAAAUCAUAAGUAAUGAAUGCAAGGAAAUAAAAAGAAAAAAGGCCUUUUCAUUUCAUAAUAUGCAAAGUUUUAAUUAAAUUAUGAAUUAUUUAUCAUACCCGUGAAACAGAUGCAACAAUAAUAAAAUAGGCAUAAUCGAGGGAAAGCAUGUGGUCACACUAUACUUGGUAUUAUUAAAUGUUACCCUUUUUGACCUAUAUAUUGCAGUGCAUACCAUGUGACAUGUUAUUUUAAUUUGACACUUUAAUUAGAAAAAUAUACAUAAUUAUUACAGCCAAGAGAUAUAUUAUUAUAUAUAUAUAUAUAUAUAUAUAUAUAUAUAUAUAUAUAUAUAUAUAUAUAGUACAAUAACAUGUGAUAAUUUUAUUUUAAUCGGGCACGUUAACCUUAAAAAAAAAAGAAGAAAUGUUAUUUUGAUUCAGCAAACAAGUGCGAGGGACAUGCUUUGUGUCCAUUAUUUUAAAUUAUACGUGUUAUUUAACUACAAGUUUUCAUAUUAUAUAUGUAAGAAUAUUUAUUAUAUAAGAGUAAUAUUCUGUUACACUAAACGUUAUUUUUGUGUGUAUAUUAAUCAAAUUUUUCUAUAUUUAUACACUAAUACACCAACUAUUUAUUAGGUUAGGUUAGGAUUAAUUGCAGGUGACUUGUAAUAGUACUCUAUAUAAAAUAGUUGAUUUUUAUAUUAACAAAUAUUUUUUUUAUUAAUUUGAUUCAAAAUUGAAUUUUAGAAUAUUCAAUGAAUCUGAUAGGUGUCUUAUUAAAACCAAAUAUGUCGGUAUCACGAAAAGGAAGUACGAAUAAUUAUUUAUUAGAAAAUAGAGUAUCCCUGCAAGGAGUCCACUAUAAAAUCUUUUCGUAUUAAUUAGUAUUUUCGAUACAGAGGAUUCUGAUUGAUUCAUAAAUAGGAAGCUUCUCAGCAACUCUUUAUUUAGAAACUCUCUGUAUGUUGCUACUUGUCUAAAUAGUACGAAAUGAAAUUGAUGAGAAUAAUCCGAUCCACACUAUAAUUUUGGAUUCAUUACUUAAAAAAGAAGUACUAAGUCUACAAAAAAAGAUGGUAGGAUUAUAAUCCUCAAUCGAAAAGUUUUAACCCUGUUCUUAAAGUUCAUAUAAAUUUUUUAAAUUUUAACAUUAAAAAAAAAGAGAAAAAUUUGACUAUUGAGACGAAUUUGACGCGGAAUGAUAAGUUGGAAGAAAUAUUUUAUGAUUGUUUCUUACAAAUUGUAUCUCUUUCUUUUGUUUUAAGUCCUACUAGCAGUGUUGCAAGCGUCGUAAUUCUCUAAUUUCUUUUGAGUUGUAAAUUUAGGACGUGUUUGGUUCACCUAUAUAAACUAUGAAACAGAAAUAUGAUUCAUUGAUUCUCAUAAUUAUUGUUUGUUUACAGGGAUCAAAUUAUGAUCCGUUUCAUUCUGAAAUACAAAUGUUCAAUACAUUUGUAGCCUAAUCCAACUUUGAGUGCUUGAUUGGCCUAUUCGAAUGUAAACGACCCACAACCCUCUUUCACAGAAACCUCUUAGUCCUUUCCAUUUAUGACUCUUCGCUCUCUUAACCAAGACUUUCUCUUAGAAUUCUAUAUGUCGAUUCUGAUUUUUCUUUUAAUAAUAAAUCAAAAGAAAAUUGGAUAAUCCUUAGUUUAUUCUUCAUUCUAAUGCAAUAUAAUUUCGUUUCUCAUUUUUAUUCUAAUUAUGAGCCAAGAAUGGAUUCAAAAUUAAUAAAAAGGACCGAAUUCUUUUUUUACCAAUUCUUCGUUCUUCAGUCUUUUUUUACUUUGACGCUAUGAAAUUACAGUAAAACCCACCACCGAAAGUGAAAAUUACACUUUUGGUUCUCCAACUUUAAGAAAUAUUAUUAUUUAGCCCUUAAGUCUUCUAAAUCAUUACAAUUAAACCUAUGUCACAAAUCAUAUAAUUUGAGCUAUAAAUUAUAACAAAUUAAAAUUUAAAAACUAAAAUAUCAUGCGCAUUAUAAGUACGAGCAUCAAAAGUGUAAUCUAUCCCCAAUUUUUACGUUUAACUUCUAAAAAAUAACCAAACCAGGAAUUUAAUUAAUUAAAAGCUUAGCUCUAAUUAUUAUGGGUGUAAUCUAUUAUAUUGGCAUAAAUUUGUCUGUGGAAAGUGAGGGAUUCUACACUGUCACACUUGCACCACGUCACCAAUAAUAAGUGGAUCACGUUUCUUUUUUUCAAACAAAAGUAUGAUAAAAAUAUAUUUUUAUAAUAAUAAUGAGACAUAUCUUUAAGAAAAUUUUGAUUGAUUUUUCGCGUCACGUCAUCAAAUAUUUUAAAAUUUUUCCAGAAGAGCAAUCCGGUCAUUACUGCAGAAUAACUGAAGCAGAUACAGGCGGGGACCGUACGGUUUACAGACAGACAACAAUAACCCGCUACUCACAUUGCACGCGAGUGCUGACUUCCAACUCGUGGGCUCGUGUCAGACGCUCACAUGGGACGACUGCAGAAACAUGUACGACAGCUUUUUAUUUUUUUUUUAUUAUUAUAUAUUUUAGGGGCAGUUUGAAGGUUAAAAUAUUGGGUAAACUUCAAAACUCAGCCCUGUAGUUUCACACUUUUUCACUUUAAUAUAUAUGAUUUAAAAUGUAUCUAGUUAGUAUCAUGUUGUUUUAUUUUUAUUUUUUUUUUUGUUAAUAUUUCGUUAAAUUAUAUACAAAAAACUUCAGAUACUUCGCCUAGAUUUAUCGAAUAUUAAUUUCAGUAUAUUUUAGUUUUAAAUUUUGUCAUUGUUUUAAUAAAAAAAACUUAGUAGAAUCGGUAAUAAAAAAACAAAAACAAAACAGUAGGGCAUUAAAUUGAUAUACUUUAAAUCAUAGGGUACUAACAUGAGAAAGUAUGAAACCACAGAGAUGGUAUUUGAAGUUUUCCCUAAAAUAUUUUUUAGGGCAAUUUUACGAAGGAGGUAAUAUACUAUUUUUUUUAAAAAAAAUAUUAUAUAUUUUUUAAACUAAUAUUUUUUUUAUUUUUUUAUAGUGUUUUAAACAUUGAAUAAUAAGCAAAAAAAUAUUAUCACGAGUACAAUUGUCUUCGUAUUUAUAAAUUUUUUUUAUAAUAACAUUUUUGAAUCAACAUUUCCGUGCUAUAAACAUAAUAUAGAAUAUUUAAAUAUUGUAAAAAUAUUUUAAAAUACAAUUCAAAGCAGUUAAAAUAUUGAUUUUCAGAACUCUUUAUAUAUUUUUCAUGAAAUUGAUUCUUGUGGUUAAAGGUGUUCUAGUCUCUUCACAUAAAAUUAUUCGUUUUUGAGUGUUUUUUUUCUUCUUAUUUUUUUGAGGUAAACUUAUUGGUACCUUCCAAAUUUUUAUCAAAGUUUUACUUUGACCUCUAUUUCUUUUCUUUUCUUUUUUUCUAAGGGACGAAUGUACGAAAACAUCACUUAAAACUUUAGAAUUUUUGAUAAAUAAUGUUUUCAACUUUCAAUUUUGACAACUAAAUUCUCUAAAUUUUAUUAAAUAAUUUACGUAUAUGCUCCUUGUCGAGCAAAAUUACUAAUUAAAGCUUUAAAUAUAGCGAAAUAUGUCUUUUUUUAUUUUAAUGCUCAAACAGUUUCUAUAAAAUCCGUCACAAACAUAACAGUUUAAUUAGUAACUUUACUUGAAGAGAAAGACCAUACAAAUUAUUUUUUAAAUUUUAGAAUUUUAAUUAUUAAAAUUAAAAGUUCAGAGAGUCUAUCGACAAACUAUAAAGUUCAGAAGGUAUGUAAUUUCUCGUAUCUUUUAAAAUGAUUAUUUUCAUACAAGGGGGUGAAGUAACGAAUAAAACCUUAGUAGGAAACUCCUCGGCAACAUCGAUCUCCUCAUUUUUUUUCAAAUGUAAAAAUUGUAUCAGUAGAUUUCCAAAGUAUUAGAAAUUGACUUUUGACCUUCAUUAAUUGUUCCAGAAUAAUCUUCUUCAAGUGAAGGGUGCGGUAACACUUAAGUAUUUGAAAACUCAUACAUCUUAACUUGUAACUUGAGCCAGAAUCAGCUUCCUAGUGUUUGUCUAAGUUUACUUCGCAUUUAUUUUUAUUUCAAAGUCAAUUUUAAAAUACUUUCUAAACUUUUAAGAUAUGUUUUAAAUUGACCCUUCUUUUAAUGCUAAGUUUGUUGAUCCAUUUAGAAAUAUACUAAACUGAGUUUCGCUCUGAAGUGUUUAGGUGACUACUACUUCGUCGAAACCCUUCAUUCAGUGAGAGCGUGGAUUAAUUUCUAUUUUCAAUAUUUUGUGCAUUAAAAUUCAUGUAUUACAGGCAAUCUCAUAUGUUACGUUUACUUAAACCUUAGUUCAAAAAACAUUAAAUUUAUUUUGAAAAAAUAAAAUAGAGAUCAAAUUAAGUAAACAUUCAUAACUGAAUGCUGUGCACAUGGAUCAACCAAACUUAACUAGCCAUUUAGAGCUACAUGAUAAUUUACCAAAUUCUUGGUUUCAUACACAAAUGCAGUAAUUCUUAUCCUGAACGAUCAGCGGCUAAAGUUCUUUCUAAAAAAGUAAAUAAAACUGAUAGCAUACUAUUUUCGUUUUUUCCUCAAUAAAAAAAAGAUGAAGGUUUCAAAAAAGGUAGAGUGUUGAACAUGCUCAUGCAUAUUUACUAUGUUUUUAUUAGAGCGUGAUUUUUUCUGAUACCAAUUGAUCAAAUCAGUACUUGUGUUAACACCGAUUAUGUAACACAAAAUAUCCUGACAACAAUAACUAUAUAUAGUUAUUAAAUCAUAACAGAUGGUAAAUUCAACUUUUACUUUGAAUACCUACAAAUAUUAAUCAUAAUCAAAUAAAAAGCUUAAAUUUAUCUCUAAUUAU